GAUACAACAUUCAUUACAUAAAAGCUGUGAAUGAAUAAGCUUCCUAGCUUAUUUGCUGGCAUUUGGGGAAGUCGAGUAAAGAGCAGAGUUAAAUGCUCUGGUUCCUUCAUGAAGAGGCUGUGCAGAGGGCACAGGGUUGAAAGUACAUAGGACAAACUGCUGUUGAAUGAAAACCUCUGUGCUGAUGGGGUGUCUGUCCGCACCACCGUUAUUGUCUGUGUCUGCUGCAGUCCAUGGUGACAGCCACAGCACUGCCGAAUCCUUGGAAUGUGGCGUGUGUCUGAAGAGCUGAAUUUUUAAUUACAUUUAAUUAAUUAAAAUUUUAAUUGUAAAUUGUCACAUAUGGUUAGUGGAUACCUUAUUAAACAUUUAGAUAAAAAGUUAUUAUUGGGGGGGGCGGGCGGUAGCACAGCAGGUUAAGCGCACAUGGCCAGAAGUGCAAAGACUGGUAUAAGGAUCUGGUUCAAAUCCCUGGUUCCCCACCUACAAGGGGGUUGCUUUAAAAGCAAUAAAGCGGUCUGCAGGUAUCUCUCUCCCCCUCUUUGUCCUCCCCAUCUCUCUUGAUUUCUUUCUGUCCUAUCCAACAACAAUGACAGCAGUAACAACAACAAUAAUAAUAACUACAACAACGAUAAACAAGAAGGACAACAAGAGGGGAAAAAUGGCCUCCAGGAGGAGUGGAUUUGUAGUGCAGGUACUGAGUCCUAGCAAUAACCCUUGAGGCCAAAAAAAGAAAAGUUAUUAUUCAGAGCACUAAAGAAAUCUUCAUUUUAUGGAAGGAUUCUGUUGACUACAUAGUCAAACUUCUACAGAGUCCAAAGUUCCUUCUUGUCUACCUAACUCCUUUACCCCUGAGUAGGAGGAAAAUUGAUCAUAAUCAAGAAAAAUGGCUCUAGGCAGGAGAGGUAGGAUUUGUGCCUUGCCAUGCCAGCAGACAGACCUGGAGAAGCUAUGAUACUAUAAGUACUUGUCCACCUCCAGUGAAAUUGGGCGUGCCUAAUUCCAGCUCAGCCUAAAAGAGAAGAAUGGUAUACCAUUCUAGGAGAGGCUUUUGGUGCAAGGCUUAAAGUAUAAUCUCAGCUGACUGGGCAUGGUUCUCUAGGAAAGUGCUGUCCUGUGGAGCUUUGUCUGGUGGUAGGAGAGUUCCAUGUCUGCAUCAUCCAACAGCUACUGGAUAGUGUCAGGGGGCCACAAAUGGCCAUUGCUACAUGAGAUGUGGCUAGCUUGACUGUGAGACUGAAUUUCACAUUUGCCUUCAUUUAAAUUUAAACAGCCGUAUAUAGCUAGUUUCUGUUUUAUCAGCUGGAAUAACUUUGGGGUGACAACUUUUAAACUUGUUCUGCUUACACACUCCAAAGAGCUGCAAAAUCCAUGUACUCUCUAACAUUU